rnacentral:rRNA from 1 species
GACGAACGCUGGCGGCGUGCUUAACACAUGCAAGUCGUACGAGAGCGUAGAGAAAGCUUGCUUUUUCUACAAUCUAGUGGCAAACGGGUGAGUAACGCGUAAACAACCUGCCCUACGGAUGGGGACAACAGCUGGAAACGGCUGCUAAUACCGAAUACGUUCCGAAAGUCGCAUGACUAUCGGAAGAAAGGAUGGCCUCUAUUUAUAAGCUAUCGCCGGAGGAGGGGUUUGCGUCUGAUUAGCUAGUUGGAGGGGUAACGGCCCACCAAGGCGACGAUCAGUAGCCGGUCUGAGAGGAUGAACGGCCACAUUGGAACUGAGACACGGUCCAGACUCCUACGGGAGGCAGCAGUGGGGAAUCUUCCGCAAUGGGCGAAAGCCUGACGGAGCAACGCCGCGUGAGUGAAGACGGCCUUCGGGUUGUAAAGCUCUGUUAUACGGGACGAAUAAUCUUGUGGUUAAUACCCAUGAGAAGUGACGGUACCGGAAGAGAAAGCCACGGCUAACUACGUG